AGUGAACGCUGGCGGUAGGCCUAACACAUGCAAGUCGAACGGCAGCACAGUAAGAGCUUGCUCUUACGGGUGGCGAGUGGCGGACGGGUGAGGAAUACAUCGGAAUCUACUUUUUCGUGGGGGAUAACGUAGGGAAACUUACGCUAAUACAGCAUACGACCUACGGGUGAAAGCAGGGGAUCUUCGGACCUUGCGCGAUUGAAUGAGCCGAUGUCGGAUUAGCUAGUUGGCGGGGUAAAGGCCCACCAAGGCGACGAUCCGUAGCUGGUCUGAGAGGAUGAUCAGUCACACUGGACCUGAGACACGGUCCAGACUCCUACGGGAGGCAGCAGUGGGGAAUAUUGGACAAUGGGCGCAAGCCUGAUCCAGCCAUACCGCGUGGGUGAAGAAGGCCUUCGGGUUGUAAAGCCCUUUUGUUGGGAAAGAAAAGCAGCAGGUUAAUACCCCGCUGUUCUGACGGUACCCAAAGAAUAAGCACCGGCUAACUUCGUG
rnacentral:rRNA from 1 species